CACGAAUAUCGAUGGCUGACUGUGUAUAUACCAAGGUAUACACAGGUGCAGGCACAGAGAAGAUGAAAGGUUGGAUUGAUAUGCAUUGGCAUUUAAGAUGUUUUACAGACACUGCUUUGGAUGCCAUCACGUAAAGCAUCUCCCCUGUCUCUGGGCUCCCCCUUCAGGACUUCGUCUACUCACACUGCAUCCCUCAAUGGGACAUCCUGCUUGGAGAUGGCAGCAGGCACCUUGAGGGCAUAAGAAUACUAAAAUUGUUCUCACAGAUCCAGUGGCUUGGCAUAGUUGCACUAUGGAACCAGUUUUAGAACUGCUUCAUCAAACUUCUUGUUACGUGAGGAAAUGGAAUCACUUUAUCACUGAAGCUUCAAAUGAUCAGAUUGCUCAUGCUGAGGCAGCUAGCCAUUAUGUCAUGAUGACACUCAAGGAACUGAUGAUGAGGAAAAACUGAGGCCUCCUUCCAACAGCCAGCACUGUGGUAGUGAGCUCUUACUGAUUUUCCAGGCCCAAUCAAGCCUUCAGAUGUCUGCAGAAACAGCUGACAACUUCACUGCAACCUCAUGAGAGGUCCUAAGGCAGAACCACCCAGGUGAGC